UGCGCAGGCGGAAUGAUUAGUCAGUGGUGAAAGCCCUCGGCUCAACCGAGGAACUGCCAUUGAUACUGUCAUUCUUGAGUACAGUUGUAGUGGGCGGAAUGUGUCAUGUAGCGGUGAAAUGCAUAGAGAUGACACAGAACACCGAUCGCGAAGGCAGCUCACUAAGCUGAAACUGACGCUCAGGCACGAAAGCGUGGGUAGCAAACAGGAUUAGAUACCCUGGUAGCC
rnacentral:rRNA from 1 species